rnacentral:rRNA from 1 species
UACGUAGGGACCGAGCGUUGUCCGGAAUCAUUGGGCGUAAAGAGCGUGUAGGCGGCUUGUUAAGUCUUGCGUGAAAUCUCGGGCUCAACCCCGAGCGGUCGUGAGAAACUGGCAGGCUAGAGUGCGGGAGAGGAGAGUGGAAUUCCUGGUGUAGCGGUGAAAUGCGUAGAUAUCGGGAGGAACACCUGUGGCGAAAGCGGCUCACUGGACCACAACUGGACGCUGAGGCGCGAAAGCUAGGGGAGCAAACAGG